rnacentral:rRNA from 1 species
AGCAGCCGCGGUAAUUCCAGCUCAAUAGCGUAUAUUAAAGUUGUUGCAGUUAAAAAGCUCGUAGUUGAAUUUCGGGGUCAGUAGGUUGGUCGUGCCACUGGUAUGUACUGGUCUCACUGAUUCCUCCUUCUUGUAGAACCGUAAUGCCAUUAAUUUGGUGUUGCGGGGAAACAGGACUGUUACUUUGAAAAAAUUAGAGUGUUUAAAGCAGGCUAACGCCUGAAUACAUUAGCAUGGAAUAAUGAAAUAGGACGUUCGAUCCUAUUUUGUUGGUUUCUAGGAUUGACGUAACGAUUAAUAGGGAUAGUUGGGGGCAUUAGUAUUCAAUUGUCAGAGGUGAAAUUCUCGGAUUUAUUAGAGACUAACUACUGCGAAAGCAUUUGCCAAGGAUGUUUUCAUUAAUCAAGAACGAAAGUUAGGGGAUCGAAGACGAUCAGAUACCGUCGUAGUCUUAGCCAUAAACUAUGCCGACUAGGGAUCGGAUGAUGUUAAUUUUUUAAUGACUCA